rnacentral:rRNA from 1 species
CAGCAGCCACGGUAAUACGGAGGGUGCAAGCGUUGUCCGGAUUUAUUGGGUUAAAGGGUGCGUAGGUGGUCUGCUUAGUCUGGUUUGAAAGCUGGUCGCUUAACGAUCAGAUGUGGCUGGAAACUGGUGGACUUGAAUGGGUUGGCGGUAGCUGGAACGGGUCAUGUAGCGGUGAAAUGCAUAGAUAUGACCCAGAACCCCGAUUGCGAAGGCAGGCUACUACGACUUGAUUGACACUGAGGCACGAGAGCAUGGGGAGCCAACAGGAUUAGAUACCCGGGUAGUCCCUGUCUCUUAUACA